ACAGAAAGGUCCCUUCUGCUUUUUUUUUCCCUUUGAAAUUUCAAAUUCCAGUUUGUGGACAAAGUCCUGCCUAUCUGAGAAUAUAGAUCUCCGACCACUGACCAAACUCCAUUCCAAGCAACUCCCUAGCUAUGCUUUCUCCCUAGCUCAGUCUCCUCCAUUUACUCCCUGGAUUUGCUGAGAUGACACCGAAGUGCUUUCACCACCGCUGCUGCUCACGCCCAAAGUGGAUUUUUGCAUUUUCUGUCUUAAUCUAACAGCUUCCUUUCCAAGUCAGGGAUGGGGAAGAAGAUUCUGACCAUCUGUAAUAAACCAGGUUUCUAGCCGUUUGGCUCAGAUCACGUGGACUGCCUGACCCCCCCCUCAGCACCUGAUGGACUCUGAGAGCUAUUCUCAACCAUGGGCUACUCCAUUCCACCUGGAAAGGAUAGGACUCCAUGGACUGAGUGACUCUUUCACUCAACUCACCCCCUCCUCCAUUGUGGACCUUUGUACGGGUUUGUUUGUAUCUUCUUUUCCCUCUCAGUGUCAUGACCCCCUCCCUCCCCUCCCCUACCUCCCCUCCCACCCUUGGGCCUAGACGGCUAACAUUGUAUUUAUGUAACCCAGUUGCAUUCCCCUCCUCACCCUCAUCCCUCUUAUGUUAGUCCCCCACUUGGGCUCUCCAUAUUUCCCUUAUGGCCUUGUCAUUUUUGUUCUAAGAUUCUUAACAUUUUCUAAUAAGGUAAACCUGUUCUUAUCUCA